AGUAGCGAGCAGGCGGGGGCGCUGCUGUGUCUGGCCCCGCCGCGAGGCGCCAUGGCUGCCCCCAGGAGGGGUGAGCUGAGCCCGGCGGAGAAGGAGCUGCUGGCGGUGAUCGCCCAAGGAAACACUGAAGAAGCUGGAAGGCUCUUGGGCAGCAAGAAUGUCCGUGUCAAUUGCUUGGAUGAGCAUGGCAUGACCCCUUUAAUGCAUGCAGCAUACAAAGCGAAAGUUGACAUGUGCAGGUUGCUCUUGCGACAUGGAGCAGAUGUUAACUGCAAUGAACACGAGCAUGGAUAUACUGCCUUGAUGUUUGCUGGACUCUCAGGCAGCAAAGAAAUCACCUGGAUGAUGUUAGAGGCUGGAGCAGAGACUGAUGUUGUCAACUCUGUGGGAAGGACAGCAGCUCAGAUGGCUGCCUUUGUGGGUCAACAUGAUUGCGUGACCAUUAUCAACAACUUCUUUCCACGGGAAAGGCUAGACUACUACGCUAAACCGCAAGGACUUGAUAAAGAACCAAAACUGCCAGUGAAGUUAGCUGGGCCUCUUCACAGAAUUAUUACUGCUACAAAUUUGCAUCCUGUUAAGAUUGUGCUACUGGUCAAAGAGAACCCUCUAUUGGCCGAAGUAGAAGCACUGCUGAAGUGCUACAGGGUGUUGGACCUGAUUUGUGAGAAAUGCAUGAAGCAGAGAGAGAUGAAUGAAGUACUGGCUAUUAAAAUGCACUAUAUCAGUUGCAUCUUCCAGAAAUGUAUUAAUUUUCUCAAAGAGCGAGAGGAUAAACUGGAUGGAUUAAUCAAAAGCCUGUUGAAAGGCAGAGAUACAGAUGGUUUUCCUGUGUAUCAAGAGAAGCUUAUCAGAGAGUGCAUUCGAAAGUUUCCUUACUGUGAAGCUACCCUGCUCCAGCAGCUGGUGAGAAGUAUUGCUCCAGUUGAAAUUGUAAGUGUCUCCCAUUAAGCAAAUAAGUGCUAUUUUAUAAACAGAUUAACUUAGAUAUCCCAUAUAGUAAAAUCCCAGUUAUUCAAUUGAAUUUAACAUGUUUUUGUGUCCCUUGACUUAUAUUCUCUAGUAUGCCAAAGUUUUGAAUGUCCCCUGAGAUAUUUAAAAAAAAAAAAAAAAGGGAUUCUACUUCUCUAACAAAUAUAGUAGAAGUUCUGACCCCUGACAAUUGGGUUUCCUCUAGUUUCUGUUCCUCUUACUGUG
rnacentral:lncRNA from 1 species